rnacentral:rRNA from 1 species
AGAGUUUGAUCCUGGCUCAGGAUGAACGCUAGCGACAGGCUUAACACAUGCAAGUCGAGGGGCAGCGGGGGUAGCAAUACCCGCCGGCGACCGGCGCACGGGUGAGUAACGCGUAUGCAACUUACCUAUCAGAGGGGGAUAACCCGGCGAAAGUCGGACUAAUACCGCAUGAAGCAGGGGCCCCGCAUGGGGAUAUUUGCUAAAGAUUCAUCGCUGAUAGAUAGGCAUGCGUUCCAUUAGGCAGUUGGCGGGGUAACGGCCCACCAAACCGACGAUGGAUAGGGGUUCUGAGAGGAAGGUCCCCCACAUUGGUACUGAGACACGGACCAAACUCCUACGGGAGGCAGCAGUGAGGAAUAUUGGUCAAUGGGCGUAAGCCUGAACCAGCCAAGUCGCGUGAGGGAUGAAGGUUCUAUGGAUCGUAAACCUCUUUUAUAAGGGAAUAAAGUGCGGGACGUGUCCCGUUUUGUAUGUACCUUAUGAAUAAGGAUCGGCUAACUCCGUGCCAGCAGCCGCGGUAAUACGGAGGAUCCGAGCGUUAUCCGGAUUUAUUGGGUUUAAAGGGUGCGUAGGCGGCCUUUUAAGUCAGCGGUGAAAGUCUGUGGCUCAACCAUAGAAUUGCCGUUGAAACUGGGAGGCUUGAGUAUGUUUGAGGCAGGCGGAAUGCGUGGUGUAGCGGUGAAAUGCAUAGAUAUCACGCAGAACCCCGAUUGCGAAGGCAGCCUGCCAAGCCAUGACUGACGCUGAUGCACGAAAGCGUGGGGAUCAAACAGGAUUAGAUACCCUGGUAGUCCACGCAGUAAACGAUGAUCACUAGCUGUUUGCGAUACACUGUAAGCGGCACAGCGAAAGCGUUAAGUGAUCCACCUGGGGAGUACGCCGGCAACGGUGAAACUCAAAGGAAUUGACGGGGGCCCGCGCAAGCGGAGGAACAUGUGGUUUAAUUCGAUGAUACGCGAGGAACCUUACCCGGGUUUGAACGCAUUCGGACCGAGGUGGAAACACCUUUUCUAGCAAUAGCCGUUUGCGAGGUGCUGCAUGGUUGUCGUCAGCUCGUGCCGUGAGGUGUCGGCUUAAGUGCCAUAACGAGCGCAACCCUUGCCACUAGUUACUAACAGGUAAAGCUGAGGACUCUGGUGGGACUGCCAGCGUAAGCUGCGAGGAAGGCGGGGAUGACGUCAAAUCAGCACGGCCCUUACAUCCGGGGCGACACACGUGUUACAAUGGCGUGGACAAAGGGAAGCCACCUGGCGACAGGGAGCGAAUCCCCAAACCACGUCUCAGUUCGGAUCGGAGUCUGCAACCCGACUCCGUGAAGCUGGAUUCGCUAGUAAUCGCGCAUCAGCCAUGGCGCGGCGAAUACGUUCCCGGGCCUUGUACACACCGCCCGUCAAGCCAUGGGAGCCGGGGGUACCUGAAGUCCGUAACCGCGAGGAUCGGCCUAGGGUAAAACUGGUGACUGGGGCUAAGUCGUAACAAGGUA